GGCCGGUUAGCUCAGUUGGUUAGAGCGUGGUGCUAAUACGAUCACCCUGAGAUCUCCACGGGUUUCUGUUAGAAUACGCCAAGGCCGAGAGUUCGAGCCUCUCACCGGCUA